GUAGGUGGCAAGCGUUGUCCGGAAUUAUUGGGCGUAAAGCGCGCGCAGGCGGUUCUUUAAGUCUGAUGUGAAAGCCCCCGGCUCAACCGGGGAGGGUCAUUGGAAACUGGGGAACUUGAGUGCAGGAGAGGAAAGUGGAAUUCCACGUGUAGCGGUGAAAUGCGUAGAUAUGUGGAGGAACACCAGUGGCGAAGGCGACUUUCUGGCCUGUAACUGACACUGAGGCGCGAAAGCGUGGGGAGCAAACAGGGAUUAGAUACCCUGGUAGUCCACGCCGUAAACGAUGAGUGCUAAGUGUUGGGGGGGUUUCCCGCCCCUUAGUGCUGCAGCUAACGCAUUAAGCACUCCGCCUGGGGAUACGGUCGCAAGACUG
rnacentral:rRNA from 1 species